rnacentral:rRNA from 1 species
GAUGAACGCUGGCGGCGUGCCUAAUACAUGCAAGUCGAGCGAACAGACGAGGAGCUUGCUCCUCUGACGUUAGCGGCGGACGGGUGAGUAACACGUGGAUAACCUACCUAUAAGACUGGGAUAACUUCGGGAAACCGGAGCUAAUACCGGAUAAUAUAUUGAACCGCAUGGUUCAAUAGUGAAAGACGGUUUUGCUGUCCCUUAUAGAUGGAUCCGCGCCGCAUUAGCUAGUUGGUAAGGUAACGGCUUACCAAGGCAACGAUGCGUAGCCGACCUGAGAGGGUGAUCGGCCACACUGGAACUGAGACACGGUCCAGACUCCUACGGGAGGCAGCAGUAGGGAAUCUUCCGCAAUGGGCGAAAGCCUGACGGAGCAACGCCGCGUGAGUGAUGAAGGUCUUCGGAUCGUAAAACUCUGUUAUUAGGGAAGAACAAAUGUGUAAGUAACUAUGCACGUCUUGACGGCACCUAAACAGAAAGCCACGGCUAACUACGUG